GAUUGUUUGAGUUGUUGAUGAUCAAUGGUGUGUUUGUUCUGCAGAAGUUUCCAGUCUCGAUGGAAAGAGUUCAGAUCUCAUCACAGCCGGAUCCACAGACUCCUUCUGGAGCUCUGAUUCAUGUGCCACGAUACUUGGGAAACCUGCCCUUCAGAGUCUGGAAGAAGAUGCAGGACAUCGUCCAGAACAGUGAGUCUGACUGCAGGAGAUCUGAGCUCACACACACU